CCUGUUUCCUCUGUGGAAAAGAGGGAUCCUUUAAAUGGGAAUGCCCUUAGACUCAGCUGUGCCCCAUAUGUUGGGGAGAUCACUGGAAGAGGGACUGCCCCUGAAGACAAAGGUCUCUGUGGUGGACCCCUCAGGCCCAGGAUCAAGACUGAUGGGACAUUUCCAUAAUGGCUCCUGUCCUUAUCACCACUCAGGAGCCCUGGGUGACUCUAAAUGUAGGAAGACAGCCUAAUGACUUCCUCCUGAAUAUGGAACCACUUUUCAGUCUUCCUCUCCAAUCUUGGGCCCCUCCCUCAUGAAUCUGCCAUAUUCAUGUUUCUGGCAAGCCAGUUACAAAAUUUUUACACAACCUUUGAGUUGUGACUGGGAAUCCAUUUUCUUUUCUCAAUGCCUUUCUGAUUGUUCCAGAGUCCAACUCCUCUUUUAGAAAGAGAUAUUUUGUAAGAGGUUAAAGCCUCAAUUCACAUGGCAAUGGAGGACUUCCCAUGUGGUUCCCAACGUAACUACUUGGCAAUCCCUCACAUUUUAUUUUUGUGAAGUAUGUUAACUAUGAGCAAAAUGAUAGUGUAUGUCAGUCAAAUAUAAAGCUUUUCUUUUAUUAGUAUUAAAACCUAGUGAUUAAGGCAGAGGCUCAUGGAAAGUAUCAGGCUAAUCUGAAUAAUAUAUUAUUUCCUUUCAGUUCACAAUCUGUUAUUUCACAGACCAUGAUUAAUAGCAUGCCCCCCAAAAUAAAAAAUAAUAAAAUAAAAAAAAUAAAAAAAAGAGAGAGGGGGAAAUAUAUGACAAUGGAGACUAAUCAAGGUUUCUGCAUUUCCUUAACUAAGGCCUUGUUAUUAUAGAAUCUAAAUGUUGUAUUCCUAAUUGUUCACAGAAUGUGUCUCAUUCCCUGUUAGAGCUUCAACAGUAGAUUCAUGAGCUGUCCUAUCCAGCUCUAGCUUUUGGAGCUGCUUUGUGGAACCAGCUGACCUCCUCUUCCUGGUGAAAAUGUUUCUUUUACCAUAUUCAUUGUAAUCUUGAUCUUUUUAUUCAGACCCUGUAUAAUUAAUUGUAUUUCUUGCUUCAUUACAUCUUGAUUAAGAGCUAUCAAUGUUCAAAUGUUGAUAGAAGGGGCAUCCAAAGUAAUGCAUCAAGGCCCACUUGACUGGCCCAUGAGUGGAGACCUAACUGCUUUCCCUAACAAUGCCCCCUUUCAGCAGGAAGAAGUUAGAGCAGUCGUCACCCCUUUUCCUACAGUUAGAGUCUCCAACUUGGGGGUGGGGAUUGAGGAUAUGGGCUUUGAUACAUUCUUUGAUGAGGCUGUUGAUUAACAUUUGUAAAUUAAAGGUCGCAUAGAACCCCAACUGCUAUAAAGUUACAGUUAUUACCCUGUGGAACCAUCCUCUGCUACCACAUCAUAGUCAAGAAGUCUGCAUCCACGGAUGACAUGGACACCUGGGAGGCUGUGCAGUGCCUCAAGAAUCCCCUCAUGGUCAAGUUCCAGAGACUUCCUUCACCAUUGUCAGAGAACGCUAAGCCCUGCUCUGGUCACCCCUGGAAGCUGGUCAGUCUAUGCAUGGUAGAAGCCCGAGGAGUUCUAUGUGAGACUUAACUUGGACUCUGAGACUUAACUUUGACUCAUGUUCUGUCUAUAGAUGCAUGAAGUGAGAGAUUUAAGAAGUAAUGAAGAAAAGAAGUUGUAAGAUCUGUUUUUGUCCUCUUGAAAAACAAAAAGAUGUCGUGAGACAUGUUUUUCCAAUCUUCUUGCUUGAUUAUCCACCCAUAGCCCCUCCUCAUGUGAUCUCAUCAAAAGAGUAAAAUAAAAGCAGUGUGGUUUUUUGAGGUGGGCUCUUGGUCCUAGAGAACUUGAGUCCCCCGGGUUCCCACAUUUACUAUCUCUGUGUUUUGUUUUGUGUUGGCAUUUUGUUUUGUGUUGGUUUUUUCCUUAAGUUCCACCAUAUCUGUUUUUCAGCCCCAUCCUGCUGAGCUUGUCAUGGCAAAUAAUAAUAGCUAAAAUAUACUAAAAGCUCUAUUUUACCUGGAUUAUGUAAUUCAAUGUAUGGAUGGACAUUAUUAUUGUUAUUUUCACUUUACAGAUGAUGAAGCUGUUGAGAGAGAUAAAGUUUACAAGAAUGUGGUUUUAAGGAGGUCAGUUUUGGGACUGUCUUAAAGGAUAUGGAUGUAAAAACAAAAGUAAACAAAGAAUUACUUUAUGGUGGAGACUGCUGUUCUGAAACACAGUUGAGAAAGAGGUCAGCUCUUCUGGGGAAAGUACCAAAAAGCCUCCUGGAGGAAGUGACAUUUGGAUUGGAUUUUAGAAGAUCUUCACACCUAUGGUUCCUUCUCACCACUGUCUCUGCAAAGAAAAUUCCCAUGACACCUACUCUUGUCCUCUGUGAAGUUGCACUGUGCUUCAGCUGUUUUUUUCACUUAUCAUUAUAUGAAAUGAUCUAGAACAUAAGCUCCAUGAGAACAAGGAUGUAGCCUGUUUAUCACCCAUUAUCACCUGUACCAACCAGCACUUGGAACUUAGCAGGGGCUUUAUUAAUAUAUGCCAAAUAAAAGAAUAAAUGAAUAGAA